GCCAGCAUUAAGGUUGAUCCUUGCUAAUUUUGCAUGGUUAGUACAUGGAUGGGAGACCACUUGGAAAUCCCAGAUGCUGUAGGCU
rnacentral:rRNA from 1 species